AAAUUGAAGAGUUUGAUCAUGGCUCAGAUUGAACGCUGGCGGCAGGCCUAACACAUGCAAGUCGAACGGUAGCACAGAGAGCUUGCUCUCGGGUGACGAGUGGCGGACGGGUGAGUAAUGUCUGGGAAACUGCCUGAUGGAGGGGGAUAACUACUGGAAACGGUGGCUAAUACCGCAUAACGUCGCAAGACCAAAGAGGGGGACCUUCGGGCCUCUUGCCAUCAGAUGUGCCCAGAUGGGAUUAGCUUGUUGGUGAGGUAACGGCUCACCAAGGCGACGAUCCCUAGCUGGUCUGAGAGGAUGACCAGCCACACUGGAACUGAGACACGGUCCAGACUCCUACGGGAGGCAGCAGUGGGGAAUAUUGCACAAUGGGCGCAAGCCUGAUGCAGCCAUGCCGCGUGUAUGAAGAAGGCCUUCGGGUUGUAAAGUACUUUCAGCGGGGAGGAAGGUGUUGUGGUUAAUAACCACAGCAAUUGACGUUACCCGCAGAAGAAGCACCGGCUAACUCCGUGCCAGCAGCCGCGGUAAUACGGAGGGUGCAAGCGUUAAUCGGAAUUACUGGGCGUAAAGCGCACGCAGGCGGUCUGUCAAGUCGGAUGUGAAAUCCCCGGGCUCAACCUGGGAACUGCAUUCGAAACUGGCAGGCUUGAGUCUUGUAGAGGGGGUAGAAUUCCAGGUGUAGCGGUGAAAUGCGUAGAGAUCUGGAGGAAUACCGGUGGCGAAGGCGGCCCCCUGGACAAAGACUGACGCUCAGGUGCGAAAGCGUGGGGAGCAAACAGGAUUAGAUACCCUGGUAGUCCACGCCGUAAACGAUGUCUACUUGGAGGUUGUGCCCUUGAGGCGUGGCUUCCGGAGCUAACGCGUUAAGUAGACCGCCUGGGGAGUACGGCCGCAAGGUUAAAACUCAAAUGAAUUGACGGGGGCCCGCACAAGCGGUGGAGCAUGUGGUUUAAUUCGAUGCAACGCGAAGAACCUUACCUGGUCUUGACAUCCACAGAAGAAUCCAGAGAUGGAUUUGUGCCUUCGGGAACUGUGAGACAGGUGCUGCAUGGCUGUCGUCAGCUCGUGUUGUGAAAUGUUGGGUUAAGUCCCGCAACGAGCGCAACCCUUAUCCUUUGUUGCCAGCGGUCCGGCCGGGAACUCAAAGGAGACUGCCAGUGAUAAACUGGAGGAAGGUGGGGAUGACGUCAAGUCAUCAUGGCCCUUACGACCAGGGCUACACACGUGCUACAAUGGCGCAUACAAAGAGAAGCGACCUCGCGAGAGCAAGCGGACCUCAUAAAGUGCGUCGUAGUCCGGAUUGGAGUCUGCAACUCGACUCCAUGAAGUCGGAAUCGCUAGUAAUCGUGGAUCAGAAUGCCACGGUGAAUACGUUCCCGGGCCUUGUACACACCGCCCGUCACACCAUGGGAGUGGGUUGCAAAAGAAGUAGGUAGCUUAACCUUCGGGAGGGCGCUUACCACUUUGUGAUUCAUGACUGGGGUGAAGUCGUAACAAGGUAACCGUAGGGGAACCUGCGGUUGGAUCACCUCCUUACCUUAAAGAA
rnacentral:rRNA from 2 species